AGAGUUUGAUCCUGGCUCAGGACGAACGCUGGCGGCGUGCUUAACACGUGCAAGUCGAACGGUAAGGCCCUUCGGGGUACACGAGUGGCGAACGGGUGAGUAACACGUGGGUAAUCUGCCCUGCACAUCGGGAUAAGCCUGGGAAACUGGGUCUAAUACCGAAUAGGACCACAGGACACAUGUCCUGUGGUGGAAAGCUUUUGCGGUGUGGGAUGGGCCCGCGGCCUAUCAGCUUGUUGGUGGGGUGAUGGCCUACCAAGGCGACGACGGGUAGCCGGCCUGAGAGGGUGUCCGGCCACACUGGGACUGAGAUACGGCCCAGACUCCUACGGGAGGCAGCAGUGGGGAAUAUUGCACAAUGGGCGAAAGCCUGAUGCAGCGACGCCGCGUGGGGGAUGACGGCCUUCGGGUUGUAAACCUCUUUCACCAUCGACGAAGGUCCGGGUUUUCUCGGGCUGACGGUAGGUGGAGAAGAAGCACCGGCCAACUACGUGCCAGCAGCCGCGGUAAUACGUAGGGUCCGAGCGUUGUCCGGAAUUACUGGGCGUAAAGAGCUCGUAGGUGGUUUGUCGCGUUGUUCGUGAAAACUCACAGCUCAACUGUGGGCGUGCGGGCGAUACGGGCAGACUUGAGUACUGCAGGGGAGACUGGAAUUCCUGGUGUAGCGGUGGAAUGCGCAGAUAUCAGGAGGAACACCGGUGGCGAAGGCGGGUCUCUGGGCAGUAACUGACGCUGAGGAGCGAAAGCGUGGGGAGCGAACAGGAUUAGAUACCCUGGUAGUCC
rnacentral:rRNA from 1 species